CGGGGUGUAGCGCAGCGGCUAGCGCGCUUGGUUUGGGACCAAGAGGCCCCCAGUUCGAAUCUGGGCACCCCGACCA
rnacentral:tRNA from 1 species